UCCCUGCUGGCUCAGAGGAUAAAGCAUCUGCCUACAAUGCAGGAGACCCAGGUUCAAUCCCUGGGUCAGGAA
rnacentral:tRNA from 1 species